rnacentral:rRNA from 1 species
GUGCCAGCAGCCGCGGUAAGACGAACCGUGCGAACGUUGUUCGGAAUCACUGGGCUUAAAGGGCGCGUAGGCGGGCUGCCAAGUCUGGGGUGAAAUCCUUCGGCUCAACCGGAGAACGGCCUCAGAUACUGGCGAUCUCGAGGAGGGUAGGGGCAUGCGGAACUAUGGGUGGAGCGGUGAAAUGCGUUGAUAUCCAUAGGAACUCCGGUGGCGAAGGCGGCGUGCUGGACCCUUUCUGACGCUGAGGCGCGAAAGCCAGGGGAGCAAACGGGGUUAGAUACCCCGGUAGUCCUGGCCCUAAACGUUGGGAACUAGGUAGUAGACUCGACAUAGGUUUACUGCCGAAGCUAAAGUGCUAAGUUCCCCGCCUGGGGAGUAUGGUCGCAAGGCUGAAACUCAAAGGAAUCGACGGGGCUCACACAAGCGGUGGAGCAUGUGGCUUAAUUCGAGGCUACGCGAAGAACCUUAUCCUGGACUUGACAUGUGCGAAAGCGGCAAGAAGUAGCUCGCGGAAACGUGGGGCCAACGGUAUCCAGUCCGGAACUUGUCACAGGUGCUGCAUGGCUGUCGUCAGCUCGUGUCGUGAGAUGUCGGGUUAAGUCCCAUAACGAGCGAAACCCUUACCCUCAGUUGCCAGCGUAAAGUCGGGAACUCUGGGGGGACUGCCGGUGUUAAACCGGAGGAAGGUGGGAAUGACGUCAAGUCCUCAUGGCCUUUAUGUCCAGGGCUGCACACGUGCUACAAUGGCGUGAACAAAGGGACGCGAACGUGCGAACGUAAGCAAAUCCCAAAAAACACGCCCCAGCUCAGAUCGCAGGCUGCAACUCCCCUGCGUGAAGUCGGAAUCGCUAGUAAUCGCGGGUCAGCAACACCGCGGUGAAUGUGUUCCUGAGCCUUGUACACACCGCCCGUCAAGCCACGAAAGGAAGGGACGGCCGAAGUCAUCUUUACCGAUGCCGACGCCGGACUUUCCGAUUGGGACUAAGUCGUAACAAGGUAACC